CCUACGGGAGGCAGCAGUGAGGAAUAUUGGUCAAUGGCCGUAAGGCUGAACCAGCCAAGUCGCGUGAAGGAAGAAGGAUCUAUGGUUUGUAAACUUCUUUUAUAGGGGAAUAAAGGUAUCCACGUGUGGAGAUUUGCAUGUACCCUAUGAAUAAGCAUCGGCUAACUCCGUGCAAGCAGCCGCGGUAAUACGGAGGAUGCGAGCGUUAUCCGGAGUUAGGGGGUGUAAAGGGUGCGUAGGUUGUUUUUUAAGUCAGCGGUGAAAGUUUGUGGCUCAACCAUAAAAUUGCCGUUGAAACUGGAAGUCUUGGUUGUCUUUGAGGUAGGCGGAAUGCGUGGUGUAGCGGUGAAAUGCAUAGAUAUCACGCAGAACUCCGAUUGCGCAGGCAGCUUACUCAGCCAUCACUGACACUGCCGCACGACCGCGUGGGGAUCAAACAGGAUUAGAUACCCAGUAGUC
rnacentral:rRNA from 1 species